UGGCCCUGUGGGUAGGAAGUGAACAAAAGACUCCAGCCAUCUCAUGUAGCUUCGGACUGAGGUUUAAUUGAGUUUAUCCUCUAAACCUUAAGUUCAUGACCAGUGUGAUUAAUAUAUGUUUGUACGAUUUGCAAUUUGCACAUGAAAGUAGUUCUCAAAUGGCGGUUUAUGAACAUGUGUGCAUGGACUUUUUCCUUUUGUUUAUGUUUCUACAGGAUAAUUCUGUUUCUGGGAGUACGGUUGAAGUUGUGGAUAUUGGGCUGCUGUCUCACGGAUGGACGCAGCAAUAGUUACCUUGUCACGAGAAUUAACCAAACCAACAACAGGAAGGGCAUUUCCAGGUAAGAGCUACAUUAUCCGGUUGUUUGAGAUCUGUACCAGGUUAUGUGUAAGCUGGUAACUAAGACUUGUGAAGAUGUUAAGAAGAGCUCGGCAGAAGGUAUAGUUUCAAAAGGUUUUUUCACAUGUGAUUUAUUGUCUGGUUUUCAGGUCUGUUAUCAAGAAAUUUGAUAAUUGUGUAAAUAUAGGGAGAUUCAGUAUGAAGAAAUUAUCUAGAAUCACGAAGUUAUAAAACCUUCAUAAGGGAUCUUUCUGUUUGAUGUCUCCAAUAAUAAAUGUGUAUGAGUAAUAGCGCAUAGUAGGUGGGGGCCAAAGCUGAUAUUCUUGGUUGUACACGCAUUGGAUACAAUGAAGAAAACAGGUCCUAGUUUUCUUAAACAUGAAGUAAAGAGACUGGAGAAAGAGGUAGAUGAGUUGACUAAGAAGUUUGUCAAAGAAGCAGCAGAUAGGUGCAAGGCAAAAGAGAAGGAAAUAAUGGAAGGCUGAGUAUGCAUGCAAUGUGAAACAGAUACUGAUAGAAGAAACCUUUAUGCUGGCAGGACCAAGGGUGGGAAAUACAAGAGAAAUACAGCUAGAUGAGAGAGUAGUCCAGAAUCUUCAAUUUCAGCAGCUCAUAUGGGUGACAUGUGGCAGGUUAUGAAAUUUUGUAUAAAAAAGUAAAUGUAGAGAGGCGUGAUGCAGAGAGAAUUGUCUAGAAAAAUUUGUAUCGAGGAGUUCUGUUCUGUUUAUCUGUGGAGAGUACUGCACUGGCCUCUCAAUAUAACCAGAUUUGAGUAUUCCUAUUAUUUUGCUGCAUUUUCGAGUUUGUUAUGAAUAUUGUAGUCUGAUGAACUUGCACUUGUAAAUGAAAUAUUAUCUCUGUUUCCCUUCAA